AAUCAACGCUGGCGGCGUGCCUCAGACAUGCAAGUCGAACGAUUAAAGCUCUCUUCGGAGAGUGCAUAGAGUGGCGCACGGGUGAGUAACACGUAAGUAAUCUACCUUCGAGUGGGGAAUACCGUCCGGAAACGGACGCUAAUACCGCAUAAUGCAGCGGCAUCGCAAGAUGACAGUUGUUAAAGAUUUAUCGCUUGAAGAGGAGCUUGCGGCAGAUUAGCUAGUUGGUAAGGUAAUGGCUUACCAAGGCUACGAUCUGUAACCGGUCUAAGAGGACGGUCGGUCACACUGACACUGAAUAACGGGUCAGACUCCUACGGGAGGCAGCAGUCGGGAAUUUUGGCAAUGGGCGAAAGCCUGACCCAGCAACGCCGCGUGAAGGAUGAAGUAUUUCGGUAUGUAAACUUCGAAAGAAUGGGAAGAAUAAAUGACGGUACCAUUUAUAAGG
rnacentral:rRNA from 1 species